CAGCACCUCAAGUGGUCAGGAUGAUUAUUGGGCCUAAAGCAUCCGUAGCCGGCGCUGUAAGUUUUCGGUUAAAUCUGUACGCUCAACGUACAGGCUGCCGGGAAUACUGCAGCGCUAGGGAGUGGGAGAGGUAGACGGUACUCGGUAGGAAGGGGUAAAAUCCUUUGAUCUAUUGAUGACCACCUGUGGCGAAGGCGGUCUACCAGAACACGUCCGACGGUGAGGGAUGUAAGCUGGGGGAGCAAACCGGAUUAGAUACCCGUGUAGUCC
rnacentral:rRNA from 1 species